UGCCCCAUGGCUUAAUUGGGUAUAGCAUCCGACUGUUAAGCAGAAGGUCGAGAGUUUGAGCUUCUCUGGGGCAG
rnacentral:tRNA from 1 species